rnacentral:rRNA from 1 species
AUGCUCCGUGUCGACGGUGCUGCCUUCGCCAUCUCGCCAUGGAGGGAGAAUGACCACGCGGGCCAUGGCACCUUCAACCUCCACGUCCGCUGCGUUAUCGAGCACCUCCCGCAGCAAGACUGGACGCUGGAGGGAGUCGAGGAGGUCUUUGGCGACAAGGUGCGCGUCGAUCGGCUGGACAGCCGCACCCUGGAGCGCGACCACACCAAAACCUUCGCGUGCUGGGUGUGGGUCUGAGACAUGGCGUUCAUCCCGACGCGCCACACCCACUGGAAGCUGCCCCAGGGCGCCGGGCGGGUGGAGGAGAUGGAGGGCUUCUCGCCACCGGACCGCCGUGUUGCUCCGCCGCUCGGAGCCGAGCGCUACGACCUACUCAUCCACGUGGAUCGGGUGGAGGACUGGUCGCCACGAUCGCCGCGGUCCUCGCAUUCGGCGCAGAGCGGC